AUUGAACGCUGGCGGCAGGCUUAACACAUGCACGUCGAGCGAGCGGCGGACGGGUGAGUAAUGUCUGGGAAACUGCCAGAUGGAGGGGGAUAACUACGGGAAACGGUAGCUAAUAACGAAUAACAUCCGAUGUGCCCAGAUGGGAUUAGCUAGUAGGUGGGGUAAUGGAUCACCGAGGCGACGAGCCCUAGCGGGUCUUAGAGGCUGACCAGCCACACGGGAACUGAGACACGGUCCAGACUCCUACGGGAGGCAGCAGUGGGGAAUAUUGCACAAUGGGCGCAAGCCUGAUGCAGCCAUGCCGCGUGUGUGAAGAAGGCCUUCGGGUUGUAAAGCACUUUCAGCGAGGAGGCGUUACUCGCAGAAGAAGCACCGGCUAACUCCGUGCCAGCAGCCGCGGUAAUUC
rnacentral:rRNA from 1 species